CCUACGGGAGGCUGCAGUAAGGAAUAUUGGUCAAUGGGCGCAAGCCUGAACCAGCCAUGCCGCGUGCAGGAAGACGGCCUACGGGUUGUAAACUGCUUUUGCAGGGGAAUAUGUACUCUGAGAAUAAGGAUCGGCUAACUCCGUGCCAGCAGCCGCGGUAAUACGGAGGAUCCGAGCGUUAUCCGGAUUUAUUGGGUUUAAAGGGUGCGUAGGCGGCCUGUUAAGUCAGGGGUGAAAGACGGUAGCUUAACUAUCGCAGUGCCCUUGAUACUGAUGGGCUUGAAUGUACUUGAGGUAGGCGGAAUGUGACAAGUAGCGGUGAAAUGCAUAGAUAUGUCACAGAACACCAAUUGCGAAGGCAGCUUACUAAGUUGAUUGACGCUGAGGCACGAAAGCGUGGGGAUCAAACAGGAUUAGAUACCCUGGUAGUC
rnacentral:rRNA from 1 species